CCUACGGGAGGCUGCAGUGGGGAAUAUUGGACAAUGGGCAAAAGCCUGAUCCAGCCAUGCCGCGUGUGUGAAGAAGGCCUUCGGGUUGUAAAGCACUUUCAGUGGGGAAGAAAGCCUUGGGGCUAAUACCCUCGAGGAAGGACAUCACCCACAGAAGAAGCACCGGCUAACUCCGUGCCAGCAGCCGCGGUAAUACGGAGGGUGCGAGCGUUAAUCGGAAUUACUGGGCGUAAAGCGCGCGUAGGCGGUCUGAUAAGCCGGUUGUGAAAGCCCCGGGCUCAACCUGGGAACGGCAUCCGGAACUGUCAGGCUAGAGUGCAGGAGAGGAAGGUAGAAUUCCCGGUGUAGCGGUGAAAUGCGUAGAGAUCGGGAGGAAUACCAGUGGCGAAGGCGGCCUUCUGGACUGACACUGACGCUGAGGUGCGAAAGCGUGGGUAGCAAACAGGACUAGAUACCCCAGUAGUC
rnacentral:rRNA from 1 species